AACGAACGCUGGCGGCAUGCCUAACACGUGCAAGUCGAACGAGAUCUUCGGGUCUAGUGGCGCACGGGUGCGUAACGCGUGGGAAUCUGCCCUUUGGUUCGGAAUAACAGUUGGAAACGACUGCUAAUACCGGAUGAUGACGAAAGUCCAAAGAUUUAUCGCCAGAGGAUGAGCCCGCGUAGGAUCAGCUAGUUGGUGUGGUAAAGGCGCACCAAGGCGACGAUCCUUAGCUGGUCUGAGAGGAUGAUCAGCCACACUGGGACUGAGACACGGCCCAGACUCCUACGGGAGGGAGCAGUGGGGAAUAUUGGACAAUGGGCGAAAGCCUGAUCCAGCAAUGCCGCGUGAGUGAUGAAGGCCUUAGGGUUGUAAAGCUCUUUACCCGGGAUGAUAAUGACAGUACCGGGAGAAUAAGCUCCGGCUAACUCCGUGCCAGCCGCCGCCGUAA
rnacentral:rRNA from 1 species